CCCUCAUAAAAUUUCGGUCAUCUUCUCUCUCUCACUCCUCCAAAUUACUUUCUUAAAGUUUCAUGAAACCAUAAGAGAGAAAAAAGAAAGAAAAACCUUCAUAGAAGUUUACUUUCAAGCUUGGUAAAUGAAGGAUUCAAAAUUCAAAUCAAAAUUUUAAACCGAUUAAAGUCUUCUUCUCAUCUUUCUUUUCAUCCUCAUAUCAAUUUUCUGAAGGAAAUCCUAUCUAAAAGCCUCAAGGAACAAAGAACAAUCAAUUUCUAACUUGAAAGGUGUUAUAAGAAAUUCAAAGCCACAAGUCUCAAACUCAAAGGGUGAAGUUCAGAUCAGUUUGGCAGAGUUUGUGUGCCAGAAAAGAGAAGAAUUGGAAGCUGCCAAGCUGGCGCUAAACGCGGACCUGGGUGUUUAGUGCCAGCAGCUCAGAAGCGCGAGAGAGCUCUCUCUCCACAAGGGAGCUAAACGCCAGACCUGAUGUUUAGCGCCAGCAAGCCAGAAUGAAUAGAAGCGUUUCUGCCACCUAGGGUGCUAAACGCCGAAUCUGGCAUUUAGCACCAACAAUGCGGAUCACACUUCAUCAAAAGAGUAUCUUUAGUUAGAUUUAACUUUUAAUUAUUCUAUUUUAUUUUAUUUUAGUUAUUUUUAAUUAUAAAUAAAAUAUUUUAGGUUUAGAAUUUAUUAUUUUAUUUUAGUUUCAAAUUUUUUCUUCCGCACUUUCACAUUUUUUGAACCCUAGUUUUCUCUCGAAGUCAUGAGCUGCUAAACCUCUUUGGUUAAGGUUAGAAGCUCUAUUUAUUUCUAUGUAUUAAGACUAUUAUUUUUCUAUUUUAAUUAAUGUAUUGAUUCAGUUUUAAGGAUUAUUAUCGUUCUUUAUCUUAUGAAUAUAGGUAUAUCAGAAGAAUAACCUUUAUUCUAUAUGCAUUCUUGUGAUUCUCGGAAGAGUUAUCUCAAUUGAAUACCAACUUGAGAGUAAAUUCCUCCUAAAUUGCUAAUUACUUGAACUUAAUGGGAUAUGUGACAUAUAAUCCUUUUAUAUUUGGGUAAUUAGGGUUCUGUAGCCAAUAAACUAGAAUUGAACAUAACCCUCUAAUCUAUAUUAAAUGACUAAGACAUUGGCGGUUGAUUAGGUUAGAAGAGACUAAAUCACUAGAAAUUAGGGUUUAGUCAAUUACAGUUUGCCAUGAAAUGAAUUUGCAUGAUUAAAAUAGUUGGUAAGAAAACUUAAUCCGGACAAAUAAAUUACUCCGAAAUCUUAAUUGUUUUCUCCCAUAUAUUUAACAGCAAUUUAUUGUUUGCUUUCUGAUUCUCUGAUUUUACUGUUUAAUGCAAUUGAACUCUGUAAACAUAAUUUUCUACUUGCCUGACUGAGUAAUUCAUUCGACUAUCGUUGCUCAGUCCAUCAAUCUUUGUAAGAUUGAUCCUCAUUCACUUGAUGUAUUACUUGAUACGACCCGGUGCACUUACUAGUUCAAUUGUGAUAUUCUAAUUGCGCACCAGCAAGUUCUUCUGAGUUAAUGAAGUCAUUAAAGUCUUGAAUUGACUUCGCUGAGUUAUCUUUGCCUCCUUCCUUCUCAUGGUGAAAUCUCAACCAUCAAUAUUGAUCCUCCAAGCAACAAUGCUGGAAAUUCUUUUCAACAACCAUUUAUCAUCAAUCAACGAUCUUUCACACUUAUUUCUGAUAAAUCGGGUGAAAACAAUCACAAAAUUUGGCUGCAGCAAGAUCUAGCUGCUAUUAGAGGCCAAGAUCUAGAAGAACACCUGUAUGCAGAUCGAGUUCCAUCCCAAAAAUCAACAACAACACAAGGUUCCUCCACAAACACCACAACUUACAAGUAAUGGUGUCAAGAUUAUCAAAAUUUAAAAUUCACCUGAUUUUAAAGGAUAUAGAUGCCUCUCUUCUAGUGAAAAAAUGUACAUUUCAAGAAGUGUUCAUUUUGAUGAAACUCAAUUUUCAUAUUCUGAAUUAUUCACUCUAUUGAUAGAAUUAUAACUAAUGACACUGAUAAUCAUGAUUUUGCAUCCUCUUUCACCAAACACUCUUUACUGCAUACAGAUCAUCAUCGUAUUACUACUGAUACUACUUCUAAAUCAAACACUAGUCACAUUAAUUCUCAAAUUGAUUGUCUUGAUAUUACUGAGAAUGACAUUAAUAAUGAAUUACAUAAUUCUAAUUUACCCCCUAAAUUCCUCCCAAAUUCCAAUUUCAAGCAUUGAAAUACAACACUCUGCCUUGGAUACUGAUGCCAUUGAACUAAAUUUACCUCAUAUUCAACGUUGUGCACUUAAUGCUAAUAGACACUAUGGUUACUAGGUCUAAGGCUAACAACAACAAUCCCAAAGUCUUAAAUUCUAUCAUUAUUUCCCCUGAUUACACACAACAACCACCAAAAUCUACUAAAAUAGCAGUUACUAUACCUCAUUGGCAUAAAGUCAUGAUGAUGGAAGAAUAUCAAAUCCCUGUGAAAGCUAAGACAUGGAUUGUAGUUCCACCACCACAUCAUGCUAAACCCACAGGCAGUAAAUGAAUUUUUACCAUUAAGAAGCAUCCAGAUGAAACUAUACAAAAGUACAAAGCUAGACUUAUUGCUCAAGGCUUUCAUUAAGAGGAAGGCUUUGAUUUUGAGCAAGUCUUUAGUCCUGUAAUUUGGUCAUCUACAAUUCGAUUAGUUUUAAGCAUAGCUUUAUCUAAAAAUUGGAUUUUGAGGUAGUUUAAUUUUAAUAAUGCAUUUCUAAAUGGGGAUUCAAAUCAAAUCUUAUAUAUGUAUCAACCAGUUGGUUUUGAACAAAUUCUAUCUAACUAUGUUUGCAAGUUGCAUAAAUCCAUUUAUGGAUUGAAACAGGCCCCUAGACAAUGGUUUACUAAACUAAGUACUACUCUUUACUCCUUUAGUCUUCAUAACACUAAAUCUUACACACCUUUAUUUGUUAAACAAAUUCUAGUUCAGUUAUCUAUCUUUUGUGCUAUGUAGAUAACAUAAUCAUUAUAGAGAACAAUGCUACUAAAGUUCAAUCCUUAAUCAAUUCAUUGGAUAAAGUGUUUUCUUUGAAAAAUUUAGGAAAUUUAAAAUUUUUUUGGGCAUUGAGGUUCAAAGAACUAACUUAGGACAAUUAUAUCUCUCAUAAACAAAGUAUAUCACUGAUGAGUUGUUAACCAAAUUGGGAAUGGCAUGAUCCAAUUCAAUGCCUACUCCAAUGAUCUCUUCCCUUCAACUCCUCUCAACAGGUUUAGAUACCUUUGAAGAUCCUAAUUCUUCAGAAUACUGAUUGGAUCUUUGCUAUACUUAACCAUCACAAGACCAAAUGUGGCAUAUGCAGUGAACAAGAUUAGUCAAUUCAUGCAUUCACUCUUCUUGUUCACUAGAAAGCUGAAAACGAGUUCUAAGAUACCUUCAAUGAACUAAAAAGCAUAGACUUAUGAUACAUAGAUGCCAGAAUUAUAGACUAUAUAGUUUUUCAGAUUCAAAUUCGGCAACUGAUCUUGAAGAUUGCAAGUCUGUUUCUGGUUUUUGUGUGUUUUCAGGUACUAAUCUAAUUUCUUGGACAUACAGAAAACAGCACACAAUUAGCAGAUCAUCUAUAGAGUUAGAAUUUCAAAGUCUUGCAUCAUGUGAAGCUGAGUUGGAGUGGCUCAAAAACUUGCUCCUAGAAUUAUAAAUUCUUCUCAAGACAACACCUACAAUAUUCUGUGAUAACAUGAGCCAAUUCUUCUAACGGCAAAGCCCUACUCGAGUUUGAAGAGUGUAUUAAAACUACACAUAAAAAAGUUCAAGAAAACAAAUUUCAAGAACUUACCUAACUAAGUGCAUAUAUAAAUUUUUGUUAUUACUGGUUGUUCUGAUUUCUAACUAGCUGCUAUGCUAGAGCUGCAAUAAGAUGCAUGUAUGAGUCAUGUAUAUAAGGUGGACCAUUUAGAUAAAUGGGUGUACGGGGAUUCUAGCUAUUCAUUUUGAAUACAGCAUAGAAUUUUCUUAUCUGAAUUUCUCUUCUUUCUUUCUUACUGCACAAACAAUUACUUCUGAUUUCUGUUAGCUAAUAUAUACAUAAUUGAUUCUUAUUGCAUUUAAUAAUUAUAUUUUAAAUAAUUUAACAAAAACUAUGAAUAAACCGGUGCAAAGCAGGGGCUAAACUCUAGUUGUUUUCUAAUGCUUGGUAGCAUGAGUAGUUGAGAUUUUUGUGUGACUCUGUUUGUGGUGUUUUCUCAUUCACUCUAUUUGCAUCCUUAACACCAGACAAUCAAAAAAAAAAAA